rnacentral:rRNA from 1 species
ACGGAUCCGGCCUUAGAGGGUGAACGGACACACUGGAACUGAGACACGGUCCAGACUCCUACGGGAGGCAGCAUUAGGGAAUAUUGCUCAAUGGGGGAAACCCUGAAGCAGCAACGCCGCGUGGAGGAUGAAGGUUUUAGGAUUGUAAACUCCUUUUGUUAGAGAAGAUAAUGACGGUAUCUAACGAAUAAGCACCGGCUAACUCCGUGCCAGCAGCCGCGGUAAUACGGAGGGUGCAAGCGUUACUCGGAAUCACUGGGCCGUAAAGAGCGCGUAGGCGGGAUAGUCAGUCAGGUGUGAAAUCCUAUGGCUUAACCAUAGAACUGCAUUUGAAACUACUAUUCUAGAGUGUGGGAGAGGUAGGUGGAAUUCUUGGUGUAGGGGUAAA